rnacentral:lncRNA from 1 species
UCCAAAACAGUUUUUUUUUUUUUCUAAAAAAAAUAUCUGACAGUUUUUAUUUUGCCCCCCUUCUUCUCUCCUAUUUCUGUAUAUAUUGUUAAUUUAUAUGUAGCAAGCCAUCCAAAUAAUUUGGCACAGAGAGAGAGAAAGUGUUUGGUCACUUUUCUUUUAUUGACACUAUUCUAUUCAGAAUCAAAAUAAAAAAAUUACUUUGUAUUAUUCCUUUCCAAUUUUUUUUAUUUACGUAAUAAUAUGAUACAUGCAUGAAGGUUUGCAGGAUAUUUUCAUUGGUUUCUUCAUCUUCUUCAGGUGCGCUGCUAAGGGAAUACCCAUUUUUAUUUUUGCGAAAAAAAGAAAAAGAAGAAGGGAGAUUUGUCGGGAGAAAUGGAAGUUGCUUUUUAUUUACAUAAUUUGUGUGUAUCUUAAAUUAACUUUUCGAUCAAAAAUAUUUAUU